UGCACGACUGAGUAACAGCUGCUAUUUUAUUCUAGCUGACAUACUGAUGUUGUGUUGAUGUGUCUUUGUCAGAUGUUCUCCACACUCUCAACUUUGGGGUGGGUGGUGACGAAACACAGCAUGUCUUGUGGAGAUUGAGCAAUGGAGAGUUGGCCCACAUCAGCCCAAAAGUUGUGGUGCUGUGGGUGGGCACCCAUAAUCACGGUCACACUGCAGAACAGAUCUGUGGAGGCAUUAUGGCCAUAGUCCAACUCAUCAAGGACAAGCUGCCGAAGGCUUACACUCUUUUCUUUUUCUUCCUCUUUUCUACCACAUGUGACUUAAACCAUUGUAAUGGGAAAUGUUUGAUUAAUCAUUUUCCUGUAUUUCAUUUACUGUUACUAAGUACUGAUGUUCCUUCCUUUGACCUGUUUAACUGCCUGAAUCAAAUGUCUGCCAGUGUUGAAUGUUAUAGUUAAAGUUUGCUGAAAGACUUUGCAGAGGACACACUGAUAAUGUAUCUGUGACACUGUGAUUCUGUAGCAGCUGAUGUUGUGACUUCCUACAAGCCUCUCGGGCUGUUGUUUACUCAACACUCGGUGCAGUGGGAUUAAUAUAUAAGUUCCCUCUCAGAGAAGCCCGUUAGACAUUUCUCUUGGCUUCUGCUCUGGAGAUGUUCUCCCUGAAUUCUUGUAAUAAACUGAAAUAAUUUAAAUU